rnacentral:rRNA from 1 species
UUAAGCGACUAAGCGUACACGGUGGAUGCCCUGGCAGUCAGAGGCGAUGAAGGACGUGCUAAUCUGCGAUAAGCGUCGGUAAGGUGAUAUGAACCGUUAUAACCGGCGAUUUCCGAAUGGGGAAACCCAGUGUGAUUCGUCACACUAUCAUUAACUGAAUCCAUAGGUUAAUGAGGCGAACCGGGGGAACUGAAACAUCUAAGUACCCCGAGGAAAAGAAAUCAACCGAGAUUCCCCCAGUAGCGGCGAGCGAACGGGGAGCAGCCCAGAGCCUGAAUCAGUGUGUGUGUUAGUGGAAGCGUCUGGAAAGGCGCGCGAUACAGGGUGACAGCCCCGUACACAAAAAUGCACAUAUUGUGAGCUCGAUGAGUAGGGCGGGACACGUGGUAUCCUGUCUGAAUAUGGGGGGACCAUCCUCCAAGGCUAAAUACUCCUGACUGACCGAUAGUGAACCAGUACCGUGAGGGAAAGGCGAAAAGAACCCCGGCGAGGGGAGUGAAAAAGAACCUGAAACCGUGUACGUACAAGCAGUGGGAGCACGCUUAGGCGUGUGACUGCGUACCUUUUGUAUAAUGGGUCAGCGACUUAUAUUCUGUAGCAAGGUUAACCGAAUAGGGGAGCCGAAGGGAAACCGAGUCUUAACUGGGCGUUAAGUUGCAGGGUAUAGACCCGAAACCCGGUGAUCUAGCCAUGGGCAGGUUGAAGGUUGGGUAACACUAACUGGAGGACCGAACCGACUAAUGUUGAAAAAUUAGCGGAUGACUUGUGGCUGGGGGUGAAAGGCCAAUCAAACCGGGAGAUAGCUGGUUCUCCCCGAAAGCUAUUUAGGUAGCGCCUCGUGAAUUCAUCUCCGGGGGUAGAGCACUGUUUCGGCAAGGGGGUCAUCCCGACUUACCAACCCGAUGCAAACUGCGAAUACCGGAGAAUGUUAUCACGGGAGACACACGGCGGGUGCUAACGUCCGUCGUGAAGAGGGAAACAACCCAGACCGCCAGCUAAGGUCCCAAAGUCAUGGUUAAGUGGGAAACGAUGUGGGAAGGCCCAGACAGCCAGGAUGUUGGCUUAGAAGCAGCCAUCAUUUAAAGAAAGCGUAAUAGCUCACUGGUCGAGUCGGCCUGCGCGGAAGAUGUAACGGGGCUAAACCAUGCACCGAAGCUGCGGCAGCGACACUGUGUGUUGUUGGGUAGGGGAGCGUUCUGUAAGCCUGUGAAGGUGUACUGUGAGGUAUGCUGGAGGUAUCAGAAGUGCGAAUGCUGACAUAAGUAACGAUAAAGCGGGUGAAAAGCCCGCUCGCCGGAAGACCAAGGGUUCCUGUCCAACGUUAAUCGGGGCAGGGUGAGUCGACCCCUAAGGCGAGGCCGAAAGGCGUAGUCGAUGGGAAACAGGUUAAUAUUCCUGUACUUGGUGUUACUGCGAAGGGGGGACGGAGAAGGCUAUGUUGGCCGGGCGACGGUUGUCCCGGUUUAAGCGUGUAGGCUGGUUUUCCAGGCAAAUCCGGAAAAUCAAGGCUGAGGCGUGAUGACGAGGCACUACGGUGCUGAAGCAACAAAUGCCCUGCUUCCAGGAAAAGCCUCUAAGCAUCAGGUAACAUCAAAUCGUACCCCAAACCGACACAGGUGGUCAGGUAGAGAAUACCAAGGCGCUUGAGAGAACUCGGGUGAAGGAACUAGGCAAAAUGGUGCCGUAACUUCGGGAGAAGGCACGCUGAUAUGUAGGUGAAGCGACUUGCUCGUGGAGCUGAAAUCAGUCGAAGAUACCAGCUGGCUGCAACUGUUUAUUAAAAACACAGCACUGUGCAAACACGAAAGUGGACGUAUACGGUGUGACGCCUGCCCGGUGCCGGAAGGUUAAUUGAUGGGGUUAGCGGUAACGCGAAGCUCUUGAUCGAAGCCCCGGUAAACGGCGGCCGUAACUAUAACGGUCCUAAGGUAGCGAAAUUCCUUGUCGGGUAAGUUCCGACCUGCACGAAUGGCGUAAUGAUGGCCAGGCUGUCUCCACCCGAGACUCAGUGAAAUUGAACUCGCUGUGAAGAUGCAGUGUACCCGCGGCAAGACGGAAAGACCCCGUGAACCUUUACUAUAGCUUGACACUGAACAUUGAGCCUUGAUGUGUAGGAUAGGUGGGAGGCUUUGAAGUGUGGACGCCAGUCUGCAUGGAGCCGACCUUGAAAUACCACCCUUUAAUGUUUGAUGUUCUAACGUGGACCCGUGAUCCGGGUUGCGGACAGUGUCUGGUGGGUAGUUUGACUGGGGCGGUCUCCUCCUAAAGAGUAACGGAGGAGCACGAAGGUUGGCUAAUCCUGGUCGGACAUCAGGAGGUUAGUGCAAUGGCAUAAGCCAGCUUGACUGCGAGCGUGACGGCGCGAGCAGGUGCGAAAGCAGGUCAUAGUGAUCCGGUGGUUCUGAAUGGAAGGGCCAUCGCUCAACGGAUAAAAGGUACUCCGGGGAUAACAGGCUGAUACCGCCCAAGAGUUCAUAUCGACGGCGGUGUUUGGCACCUCGAUGUCGGCUCAUCACAUCCUGGGGCUGAAGUAGGUCCCAAGGGUAUGGCUGUUCGCCAUUUAAAGUGGUACGCGAGCUGGGUUUAGAACGUCGUGAGACAGUUCGGUCCCUAUCUGCCGUGGGCGCUGGAGAACUGAGGGGGGCUGCUCCUAGUACGAGAGGACCGGAGUGGACGCAUCACUGGUGUUCGGGUUGUCAUGCCAAUGGCACUGCCCGGUAGCUAAAUGCGGAAGAGAUAAGUGCUGAAAGCAUCUAAGCACGAAACUUGCCCCGAGAUGAGUUCUCCCUGACUCCUUGAGAGUCCUGAAGGAACGUUGAAGACGACGACGUUGAUAGGCCGGGUGUGUAAGCGCAGCGAUGCGUUGAGCUAACCGGUACUAAUGAACCGUGAGGCUUAACCUU